rnacentral:rRNA from 1 species
AGAGUUUGAUCCUGGUUCAGGACGAACGCUGGCGGCGUGCUUAACACAUGCAAGUCGAACGGAGUUUAAGAGGAAGCUUGCGAAUCUUAAACUUAGUGGCGGACGGGUGAGUAACGCGUGGAUAACCUGCCUGAAUGACUGGGACAACACCGGGAAACUGGUGCUAAUACCGGAUACGCUCAUCAUUGCGCAGGCAAAGGUGAGGAAAGGAGAAAUCCGCAUACAGAUGGGUCCGCGUCCCAUUAGCUAGUUGGCGGUGUAAGAGACCACCAAGGCGACGAUGGGUAGCCGGCCUGAGAGGGUGGACGGCCACACUGGAACUGAGACACGGUCCAGACUCCUACGGGAGGCAGCAGUGGGGAAUCUUCCGCAAUGGGCGAAAGCCUGACGGAGCAACGCUGCAUGAGUGAGGAAGGCCUUCGGGUCGUAAAACUCUGUCUUCAGGGAAGAAAAGAAUGACGGUACCUGAGGAGGAAGCCCCGGCUAACUACGUGCCAGCAGCCGCGGUAAAACGUAGGGGGCGAGCGUUGUCCGGAAUUACUGGGCGUAAAGGGCGCGUAGGCGGUUAUUUAAGUCAGAGGUGAAAACUACCGGCUCAACC